CCGAGUGAGAGCCUCCGGGCUCGACCUCCCACCCUUUGAAUUAACCAACUCUUGUUGCCUCGGGGGCGACCCGGUCGCGUCGGACUGCCGGCGUCGGCGUCGGGGCCCCCGACGGACCCCCUUCUAACGCUGCAUCUUUGCGUCGGGUUGAUCAGAAAAUCAAUCA
rnacentral:misc_RNA from 1 species